CUUAAUCUCUCCUGUUCCUCCUCUUAAUCUCUCCUGUUCCUCCUCUUAAUCUCUCCUGUUCCUCCUCUUAAUCUCUCCUGUUCCUCCUAUUAAUCUCUCCUGUUCCUCCUCUUAAUCUCUCCUGUUCCUCCUCUUAAUCUCUCCUGUUCCUCCUCUUAAUCUCUCCUGUUCCUCCUCUUAAUCUCUCCUGUUCCUCCUAUUAAUCUCUCCUGUUCCUCUUAUUAAUCUCUCCUGUUCCUCCUCUUAAUCUCUCCUGUUCCUCCUCUUAAUCUCUCCUGUUCCUCCUAUUAAUCUCUCCUGUUCCUCUUAUUAAUCUCUCCUGUUCCUCCUCUUAAUCUCUCCUGUUCCUCCUAUUAAUCUCUCCUGUUCCCUCCUCUUAAUCUCUCCUGUUCCUCCUAUUAAUCUCUCCUGUUCCUCCUAUUAAUCUCUCCUGUUCCUCCUCUUAAUCUCUCCUGUUCCUCCUCUUAAUCUCUCCUGUUCCUCCUCUUAAUCUCUCCUGUUCCUCCUCUUAAUCUCUCAUGUUCCUCCUCUUAAUCUCUCCUGUUCCUCCUCUUAAUCUCUCCUGUUCCUCCUCUUAAUCUCUCCUGCUCCUCCUAUUAAUCUCUCCUGUUCCUCCUCUUAAUCUCUCCUGUUCCUCCUAUUAAUCUCUCCUAUUCCUCCUAUUAAUCUCUCCUGUUCCUCCUAUUAAUCUCUCCUAUUCCUCCUAUUAAUCUCUCCUGUUCCUCCUCUUAAUCUCUCCUGUUCCUCCUCUUAAUCUCUCCUGUUCCUCCUAUUAAUCUCUCCUGUUCCUCCUCUUAAUCUCUCCUGUUCCUCCUCUUAAUCUCUCCUGCUCCUCCUAUUAAUCUCUCCUGUUCCUCCUCUUAAUCUCUCCUGUUCCUCCUAUUAAUCUCUCCUAUUCCUCCUAUUAAUCUCUCCUGUUCCUCUUCUUAAUCUCUCCUGUUCCUCCUCUUAAUCUCUCCUGUUCCUCCUAUUAAUCUCUCCUGUUCCUCCUAUUAAUCUCUCCUGUUCCUCCUCUUAAUCUCUCCUGUUCCUCUUAUUAAUCUCUCCCGUUCCUCCUCUUAAUCUCUCCUGUUCCUCCUCUUAAUCUCUCCUGUUCCUCCUCUUAAUCUCUACUGUUCCUCCUCUUAAUCUCUCCUGUUCCUCCUAUUAAUCUCUCCUGUUCCUCCUAUUAAUCUCUCCUGUUCCUCCUCUUAAUCUCUCCUGUUCCCCCUAUUAAUCUCUCCUGUUCCUCCUCUUAAUCUCUCCUGUUCCUCCUCUUAAUCUCUCCUGUUCCUCCUAUUAAUCUCUCCUGUUCCCCCUAUUAAUCUCUCCUGUUCCUCCUAUUAAUCUCUCCUGUUCCUCCUCUUAAUCUCUCCUGUUCCUCCUAUUAAUCUCUCCUGUUCCUCCUAUUAAUCUCUCCUGUUCCUCCUCUUAAUCUCUCCUGUUCCUCCUAUUAAUCUCUCCUGUUCCCCCUAUUAAUCUCUCCUGUUCCUCCUAUUAAUCUCUCCUGUUCCUCCUCUUAAUCUCUCCUGUUCCUCCUCUUAAUCUCUCCUGUUCCUCCUCUUAAUCUUUCCUGUUCCUCCUCUUAAUCUCUCCUGUUCCUCCUAUUAAUCUCUCCUGUUCCUCCUCUUAAUCUCUCCUGUUCCUCCUCUUAAUCUCUCCUGUUCCUCCUAUUAAUCUCUCCUGUUCCUCCUCUUAAUCUCUCCUGUUCCUCCUCUUAAUCUCUCCUGUUCCUAGGCCGUCAUUGAAAAUAAGAAUUAGUUCUUUACUGACUUGUCUAGUAAAAAAGUUGUAUUUUUUUUUAAAAGAAGAUAAUAAUAAUAAAAAGUUGAUGCGUGUUUAUUUAACGUAGACUGGGACAGUUACCCAGACACUGAACCAGAGCUUUAUGAACACCAAGACUUCACAAGUUGGCACGGUAACACUUUGGCACGGCCCAGAAACGAGCCCUGACACGCUAGGGCUUGUAGAGAUCGUCUGAUAGUGUUGGAUAGUUCAAAUCCUACCUACUUUAUCAGAGGGCAAGCUGGAGCUAAAUCCAUACCCCGUACGCCUGUCCAUUCUACAUUGUGCCAGGCGAAUAGGAACUGUGGGUCGUACAGUGUAACAACGAGCAAUUACAACAGCUACUUACAGGAAUAACCACACAGUGUUGUAAAGUAGAGAUUGUGUCUGGGCUUCAUGCAACUUCCACCCCGACUGAUCUAUAGUGCUAGUGUCACCAUCGUAACUACGAAACUAAGAUAAUAAGAGUCUGUAGAUAAUGAUUACUGUUGUCCUUGUUGUUACUGUUAGUGCUGUUAUAUUGUUGACAUGAUAAUAUCUCUGGGUACGUCUCAAACAGCUCCCUGUUCCCUAUAUAGUGCACUACUUUAGACCCUAUUCCAUACAUAGUGCACUACUUUAGACCCUAUUCCCUACAUAGUGCACUACUUUAGACCCUAUUCCCUAUAUAGUGCACUACUUUAGACCCUAUUCCCUACAUAGUGCACUACUUUAUACCAUAUUCCCUACAUAGUGCACUACUUUAGACCAUAUUCCCUAUAUAGUGCUCUAAUUUAGACCAGAGCCAAGACUGCCAUUUGGGAUGCCGCCUCUCAUUCUAGGCUUCCUUCACAGGGCUUCCUUCACAUGCCUUCCUUCACAUGCCUUCCUUCACAGGGCUUCCUUCACAUGGCUUCCUGGUUGUGCCAAGUGAGAGUGAUGGUACAUGCUGAUAGUGUUAGCGUAAGGUUGCAUAUAGAAAGAGGAAGUUUAUGCUGCGAGAGAGCGAGAGAGAAGGAGAGACACAAGUGGAUUUGGGGUUGUGGUUCCUCAGAUGAAAAGGUGUGUGUGUGUGUGUCAGGAAGGUGCACUACAGAGGACAGUGGCGUGGACUGGCUCUCCUAUCGACUACCAAGGGAACAUCCGUGUAAUAGUUUAGCUUUGUUUUGAUCUGGACUCUGAAACGGCUGAUAUAAAGGCUACUGAUGAACAGAGUGGCUGGUAACCCUGUGAGAAUAUGUAACAGAUAAAAACACAACGCAGAGACAGAGGACGAGAGGUUAAAAGGACGAGAAGUCGAUAGAGUAACGAUUAAGGAGAAUGACUGGAGAGAACCACAGGAGUGAAUCACUGAGAGAGCA